AUCAUGCUCAGGAUGAACGCUGGCGGCGUGCCUAAUACAUGCAAGUCGAACGAACUUCCGUUAAUUGAUUAUGACGUACUUGUACUGAUUGAGAUUUUAACACGAAGUGAGUGGCGAACGGGUGAGUAACACGUGGGUAACCUGCCCAGAAGUAGGGGAUAACACCUGGAAACAGAUGCUAAUACCGUAUAACAGAGAAAACCGCAUGGUUUUCUUUUAAAAGAUGGCUCUGCUAUCACUUCUGGAUGGACCCGCGGCGUAUUAGCUAGUUGGUGAGGUAAAGGCUCACCAAGGCAGUGAUACGUAGCCGACCUGAGAGGGUAAUCGGCCACAUUGGGACUGAGACACGGCCCAGACUCCUACGGGAGGCAGCAGUAGGGAAUCUUCCACAAUGGACGCAAGUCUGAUGGAGCAACGCCGCGUGAGUGAAGAAGGGUUUCGGCUCGUAAAGCUCUGUUGUUAAAGAAGAACGUGGGUAAGAGUAACUGUUUACCCAGUGACGGUAUUUAACCAGAAAGCCACGGCUAACUACGUGCCAGCAGCCGCGGUAAUACGUAGGUGGCAAGCGUUAUCCGGAUUUAUUGGGCGUAAAGCGAGCGCAGGCGGUCUUUUAAGUCUAAUGUGAAAGCCUUCGGCUCAACCGAAGAAGUGCAUUGGAAACUGGGAGACUUGAGUGCAGAAGAGGACAGUGGAACUCCAUGUGUAGCGGUGAAAUGCGUAGAUAUAUGGAAGAACACCAGUGGCGAAGGCGGCUGUCUGGUCUGCAACUGACGCUGAGGCUCGAAAGCAUGGGUAGCGAACAGGAUUAGAUACCCUGGUAGUCCAUGCCGUAAACGAUGAUUACUAAGUGUUGGAGGGUUUCCGCCCUUCAGUGCUGCAGCUAACGCAUUAAGUAAUCCGCCUGGGGAGUACGACCGCAAGGUUGAAACUCAAAAGAAUUGACGGGGGCCCGCACAAGCGGUGGAGCAUGUGGUUUAAUUCGAAGCUACGCGAAGAACCUUACCAGGUCUUGACAUCUUCUGACAGUCUAAGAGAUUAGAGGUUCCCUUCGGGGACAGAAUGACAGGUGGUGCAUGGUUGUCGUCAGCUCGUGUCGUGAGAUGUUGGGUUAAGUCCCGCAACGAGCGCAACCCUUAUUACUAGUUGCCAGCAUUAAGUUGGGCACUCUAGUGAGACUGCCGGUGACAACCGGAGGAAGGUGGGGACGACGUCAAUCAUCAUGCCCUUAUGACUGGGCUACCACGUGCUACAUGGAUGGUAC
rnacentral:rRNA from 1 species